UCAACAUUUCCAUUUUUUUGACUAACAACAUAUAGCAUCAAUUAUUUUACAGGCCACUAAAGGCACCUAGCCCAGUGCACAUGCAACCCACAAGCCACAAGGACGAUGGGGCGGCCCAUCAAAAGGGGCCCAACCAGCUAGUCCAGCCGCCGCCAUGGAUGAACCCCCCUCUGCAUUGACAACCUCGCCCGUCAAGCUGCCCACAAAUGAUGAGCUGUUGGUCAAGGGCUUUCCUCCGCAAUCACCUAUCUGUGUCACCAUCAGCAAGCAGUUCAUUCUUGAACAAGCAAUUGAGAGAAUUGGUGGCACAAUCCAUCCAUUCACUUUCACCGACAUAGGCAGUGAUGA